rnacentral:rRNA from 1 species
CCUACGGGAGGCAGCAGUGGGGAAUAUUGCACAAUGGGGGAAACCCUGAUGCAGCGACGCCGCGUGAGUGAAGAAGUAAUUCGGUAUGUAAAGCUCUAUCAGCAGGGAAGAAAAUGACGGUACCUGAGUAAGAAGCCCCGGCUAACGACGUGCCAGCAGCCGCGGUAAUACGUAGGGGGCAAGCGUUAGCCGGAUUUACUGGGUGUAAAGGGAGCGUAGACGGCAGUGCACGGCUGGAGUGAAAGGCGGGGGCUCACCCCCCGGACUGCUCUGGAUACUGUACGGCUGGAGUGCAGGAGUGGUAAGUGGAAUUCCUCGUGUAGCGGUGCACUGCGUAGAUAUUAGGCGGAACACCAGUGGCGAAGGCGGCUUCCUGGACUGUAACUGACGUUGAGGCUCGACCGCGUGGGGAGCAAACAGGAUUAGAUACCCUUGUAGUC